rnacentral:tRNA from 1 species
GCGGGGGUAGCCGAGCUGGCCAAAGGCGCAGGACUUAAGAUUCUGUCUCGUAGGAGUUCGAGGGUUCGAAUCCCUCCCCCCGCA